GCGGCCCCCUGGACGAGACUGACGCUCAGGUGCGAAAGCGUGGGGAGCAAACAGGAUUAGAUACCUUGGUAGUCCACGCUGUAAACGAUGUCGAUUUGGAGGUUGUGCCCUUGAGGCGUGGCUUCCGGAGCUAACGCGUUAAAUCGACCGCCUGGGGAGUACGGCCGCAAGGUUAAAACUCAAAUGAAUUGACGGGGGCCCGCACAAGCGGUGGAGCAUGUGGUUUAAUUCGAUGCAACGCGAAGAACCUUACCUACUCUUGACAUCCAGAGAACUUUCCAGAGAUGGAUUGGUGCCUUCGGGAACUCUGAGACAGGUGCUGCAUGGCUGUCGUCAGCUCGUGUUGUGAAAUGUUGGGUUAAGUCCCGCAACGAGCGCAACCCUUAUCCUUUGUUGCCAGCGGUUCGGCCGGGAACUCAAAGGAGACUGCCAGUGAUAAACUGGAGGAAGGUGGGGAUGACGUCAAGUCAUCAUGGCCCUUACGAGUAGGGCUACACACGUGCUACAAUGGCGUAUACAAAGAGAAGCGACCUCGCGAGAGCAAGCGGACCUCAUAAAAUACGUCGUAGUCCGGAUUGGAGUCUGCAACUCGACUCCAUGAAGUCGGAAUCGCUAGUAAUCGUAGAUCAGAAUGCUACGGUGAAUACGUUCCCGGGCCUUGUACACACCGCCCGUCACACCAUGGGAGUGGGUUGCAAAAGAAGUAGGUAGCUUAACCUUCGGGAGGGCGCUUACCACUUUGUGAUUCAUGACUGGGGUGAAGUCGUAACAAGGUAACCA
rnacentral:rRNA from 1 species